ensembl:lncRNA
CCUGCGAGUCAUCGCUGAGGGUUUAAAGCAUAUGUUUUUGUUUCUGUUUCGUGUGCAGUCAUUUGUGUUGAUCUUUUUAUUACUUUGAUUUGCAGUGACUCUUCCCGCAGGAACAUUUCUAUGGGACAGCACUUAAUUGAGACUUCCAGUAAUGUCAGGUUGCUCGGUUAUCCCUCUGACGUUACCGCAGCGGGACGGGGGCGCGAGGAGGAUUCGUUUCAUUCACCUGGUGGGUCUGACAUCGUUCAGACUGACAGAGAGCACCAAACAGGACAUCCUCCUGGAGUUGGACCUGGUGGCUGUGGCGGCCAUGUGUGUACAGUGAACUCAUUUUCGCUGCCAGUUUGAGAUUAUUUGAGCUUUGUGACAUGCUAUGUUAUCCUCCUGGAAGCAGAAGAUGGGUAAACUGUGGUCAUAAAAGCUGGACAUGGGUUCAACGAUUCCGCUCUAUUUGGGAGCCGAUCUCCUCUCAAAGACUGAUGUGCGUACAGAAAACCAUCCAAGACACCAUGCCAAGUUUGCCAAGAAAGGCCUUGCAACAAAAAUAACUUUUUCCUCAGCUUUCAGGUUUCACGGCUUGAAGGUACCCUCUGCAAAUAACAGCCUGUGGUUCUACAGCAUUCAGGGACUUUUUCGAGUAGCCUUUGAGUUGUACAGUAAGCAAGAUCAGCUUGCUGUGCUGGAGAAUUUCCAGGAUGUCUGGAAAGCACAGAUCAGUGACAGCCCUCUGGAAGUGAGUUACAGCCUCAGCGUGCAGCUGGACCCUUCAGGGUCGCUCAGCCAGCGUGACUCACAAUCAAAGGGUGUAAUAUCACAGCCUCCUUAUUUCCAGGCUGACAAGGAUGUGGUAGAUGUUAGUAGCAUGGACACUGCUGACACAUCAGCAGAUCAUGAUUAUUGUUCUCUUCCCAAGCAGAGCUUACAAUCUGAGCAAAGAGAAGUAGUAAUAUCCACAGUGAGACAAAAAUUGCACCGCUUGGAUGAACAGUUCUCCUCGGAGCCUCGAAGCUGCUCAGAGCAGCUGGAGACGGUCUUGCUGCUUUUGGAGAACAUUGAUCGCUACAUAAAUGGGAGACUUGAAGAAAAAGAUGCGACGGAGAUUGUGCUGGCUCUGCUAAAGGCCAAAGACUGGGGCCCAGUGUAUUCAAGCAGCCUGCUCACUUGUAUAGGACGUUGGCUUGGCCAGCAGUUUCAUGCAGCCAACAGCAGCAUCAGCCAGAAGGUGGAGGGCUUUAAACUUCAGCACAUUGAGCGCAUCAGCGACCUGCCACCUGCUGAGGAACUAGCCACAGAGCUGUUCCCUGAAGCGAUGCGGACGCUGCUGCUUCACUGGAUGGGCUUAAGUGAGGACUUCAGCCUUGAAAAGAGACGCAGCGAAUACCCAAUCCUGCUCCUCAUCCUCGAGUUUGCCAACCACAACCUCAUCACUGGCGUAGCUCAUGUGUUGUACUCCAGUCUUAUAUGCAGGUAAAAGUGUCAACAUAAGACCUGUUUUUCAAUGGAACAACGUUUUAUAUUCAAAUAAAGGUUUAUUUUGUGCGUGUGUGUACAUUACUAUACAUAUGACUCCUCUUAGGUUGGGU